rnacentral:rRNA from 1 species
GAUGAACGCUGGCGGCGUGCCUAAUACAUGCAAGUCGAGCGAACGGACGAGAAGCUUGCUUCUCUGAUGUUAGCGGCGGACGGGUGAGUAACACGUGGAUAACCUACCUAUAAGACUGGGAUAACUUCGGGAAACCGGAGCUAAUACCGGAUAAUAUUUUGAACCGCAUGGUUCAAAAGUGAAAGACGGUCUUGCUGUCACUUAUAGAUGGAUCCGCGCUGCAUUAGCUAGUUGGUAAGGUAACGGCUUACCAAGGGAACGAUGCAUAGCCGACCUGGGAGGUCGAUCGGCCACCCUGGAACUUCGACGCGGUCCAGGCUCCUACGGGAGGCAGCGGGAGGGAAUCUUCCGCAAUGGGCGAAAGCCUGACGGAGCGACGCCGCGUGAGUGAUGAAGGUCUUCGGUUCGUAAAACUCUGUUAUUAGGGAAAAACAUAGGUGUAAGUAACUGUGCACAUCUUGACGGUACCUAAUCAGAAAGCCCCGGCUAACUACGUG